rnacentral:rRNA from 1 species
UGCCAGCCGCCGCGGUAACACGAACCGGACAAACGUUAUUCGGAAUUAUUGGGCUUAAAGGGUGCGUAGGCGGUGCGGUAAGUGAGGUGUGAAAGCCCACGGCUCAACCGUGGAAUUGCGCUUCAUACUGCCGUGCUAGAGGGAGACAGAGGUAAGCGGAACUGAUGGUGGAGCGGUGAAAUGCGUUGAUAUUAUCAGGAACACCGGUGGCGAAAGCGGCUUACUGGGUCUCUUCUGACGCUGAGGCACGAAAGCUAGGGUAGCGAACGGGAUUAGAUA